rnacentral:rRNA from 1 species
CAUGUAGACGCAUCCCUGUCCGCUAGUAUGCAGGUACAUCGUGACGCUCUAGUAGCUCACAGGCAUCAUCGCUAGAUGAGCUAGUCACUGCUCGACUGUCGCAUGCUGAGCCGCUGAUUGACAUGUGCGUAGCGUAUCACACCAUAACACACCUGCUAGCGAUAGCUGACGUCGCAUGCUCAGCGCAUGCGCGUGAUCGAUACUCGUGCAGCAGCGCGUAUACGAGUGCAGCGUAUCGACUACUCGCGUAGCGCACGCAGCGUUGUAGUCAGAUGUGAAUCUCUGGCUCUACUGGACUGCAUCUGAUACUGCAGCUGAGUCUCGUAGAGGGGUAGAGUGCAGUGUAGCGUGAAUGCGUAGAGAUCUCGACGAUACCUGUGGCGAAGGCGGCCUCUUGACGCAGACUGACGCUCAGGUGCGAAAGCGUGGGAGCAAACAAGAUUAGAUACCCUGGUAGUCCACGCCGUAAACGAUGUCGACUUGGAGGUUGUGCCCUUGAGGCGUGGCUUCCGGAGCUAACGCGUUAAGUCGACCGCCUGGCGAGUACGGCCGCAAGGUUAAAACUCAAAUGAAUUGGCGGGGGCCCGCACAAGCGGUGGAGCAUGUGGUGUAAUUCGAUGCAACGCGAAGAACCUUACCUGGUCUUGACAUCCACGGAAGUUUUCAGAGAUGAGAAUGUGCCUUCGGGAACCGUGAGACAGGUGCUGCAUGGCUGUCGUCAGCUCGUGUUGUGAAAUGUUGGGUUAAGUCCCGCAACGAGCGCAACCCUUAUCCUUUGUUGCCAGCGGUCCGGCCGGGAACUCAAAGGAGACUGCCAGUGAUAAACUGGAGGAAGGUGGGGAUGACGUCAAGUCAUCAUGGCCCUUACGACCAGGGCUACACACGUGCUACAAUGGCGCAUACAAAGAGAAGCGACCUCGCGAGAGCAAGCGGACCUCAUAAAGUGCGUCGUAGUCCGGAUUGGAGUCUGCAACUCGACUCCAUGAAGUCGGAAUCGCUAGUAAUCGUGGAUCAGAAUGUCAACGAAAUCCCCC